rnacentral:rRNA from 2 species
UCGCCUGUUUAUCAAAAACAUGUCUUUUUGAUAAUAAUUUAAAGUCUGACCUGCCCACUGAAUUGAAAAAAUUUGAAGGGCCGCGGUAUUUUGACCGUGCAAAGGUAGCAUAAUCAUUAGUCUUUUAAUUGAAGGCUGGAAUGAAUGGUUGGACGAGGUAUUGACUGUCUCAAUGUAAAUGACAAUAGAAUUUAUCUUUUAAGUCAAAAGACUUAAAUAGUAUUAGAGGACGAGAAGACCCUAUAGAGCUUUAUAUUUAAAGAUUAUUAUUUAUUUAGAAGUAUUUUUAUAAUAGUGAUAUAAAUAUUUUGUUGGGGUGACAGGAAGAUAUAAUAAACUCUUUUUAGUUUAAUUACAUUUAUUUAUGAAUUGAUGAUCCAUUAUUAGUGAUUACAAGACUAAGUUACCUUAGGGAUAACAGCGUAAUCUUUUUCGAGAGUUCUUAUCGACAAAAAGGGUUGCGACCUCGAUGUUGGAUUAAGGGUAAUUUUGGGUGUAGAUGUUCAAAGUUUAGGUCUGUUCGACCUUUAAAUCCUUACAUGAUCUGAGUUCAAACCGGAGA